UGACAUUUGUUUUAAAUAUAUCACGUGACAAUAAGAGGACUAUAUAUAAGACCCAUAUCACGUCACCUGGAACAGUUUUGAAAAACUAAGGAGGAUUUAUGUAACAGGACGAAUUGUGUCAUAAUGCAAAGCCUUGUCUUUUUACUCUUGGUUGGUUUUGUGACAGCAGCGGUGAUCUCCAACAUCCAAAUAAACGAGGAACCGUGCUCUACUGGUGAUGCCUGUAACAACAGUUCAUUCGUCAAUAUAAUCUCCACUACAAAACACUGUUGUCCGAAUGAAACAACCACGAUGAGUUCAUCAAACUUAGUACAAAAUGGUCAACUUAUCAUUGAAUGUAAAUGUCGCUACGAUAGUCUAUUAGCCCAACCCAGAACCCUUGGUACUUGGAAUCAAAGAUGGCUGGGUUUCGACACAGGGGCUGGAAAUAUAUUCAGUGAAUUUCCGUAUAUUCUGUGGAGGAGAAAAUAAUUUGAGGAUACCUUUGUAUUUAAAAUAAUAAUUUGAGGAAAAAUUGA